UUACGGAAGUAUCAUUUGUGAGACUUUUUUCUUCUGUCACAUUUUAUCUAUAUCACUGUCCAUAAAAUUUUGACUUCCUUCAAAUUUAGUCUUGUUUAAAGGGUUAGGGAGAGAGCCGAUGUGAAGGAGAGAGAAAGAAUUGAAGUGUUAAUACUGGGUGAGUACGGGCCCCUCUUGCCCGCUCAGGACAGACACAAAAGACCUUGUUUCUCUCCACCUUCAGCUUUCUGGCGGAUGAAGAAAAGCGAAAGUGAUUAUGUGAGCUCACUGGGCAAAAGCAGAUUUUAUAAAUAAUUGCCUGUCAGACGGUCCAAGAUAGACAAACACACGGCAGGACCAACACAAACACAGAGCUGUCGUGUUCCUGAGAGAAAUGUGCGCCGAGUCUUCCUUCCCUGGGACUACGAGGAGAGUAGGCCUAAUUUAUAGUCUGGAGUGGAAAGCUGUGGGAACAGACACUAGCGAGGCCCUUCCUCCUCUCGGCAGGAUGUCGAUCUCAGAGGCACGCUGCACAGUCCUGAUGGUAUGGAAAGUCCCAUCUGUAGACGCACAGGGAGGCAGAUGUGAAGAUGAUCACGGCAGAAACGGAAAAGAAACCAUUCUAAGCUUCAUUCCUCAUUCUCCACGAGCUCCUUCAACUCCAUCUGUGCUGGAGGCAGAGAAUUUCUGGAUUGAAGACCCUGGCAGGGCUGGAGAGAUGGCUCAGCGGUUAAGAGCACUGACUGCUCUUCCAGAAGUCAUGAGUUCAAUUCCCAGCAACCACAUGGUGGCUCACAACCAUCUGUAAAGAGAUCCGAUGCCCUCUUCUGGUGUAUCUGAAGACAGCUACAGUGUACUUAUAUAUAAUAAAUGAAUAAAUCUUUAAAAAAAAAAAAGACCCUGGCAAAGACUAGAACACUCUGAGUCUGCCUUCUAAAGUUGCUGGAGAAGUGCUCACUAAUUGUGGGGAGCCACGGGAAACUGCAGACAGAGAACUGUCCUAUAAUAUAUGCCAGGGGCUCAACCUUGAUAGAGCCCUGAGCUAUGAUGCCUCCAAGAGGCCUAUGGGAGAGUGACACUUUCAGCUCCUGACUGACAUUUUACAAGCACAAUGGCAGCCCGCUAAUGUAACUGCAUACUUGAAAUUAGAGGGAGGUAUGGGGACCUGUAGGGAAGAGAAGCAGGAUUUUCCUACAGGAGAAUGGCUGGAAUGAUCUCUGCUUGGGAAGGGAGGCUCAGUGGGAGAUAGUUUAUCUGAGAAAUGGCCAGGUUUAACCUUUCCCAGAGGGUGGGAUGGUCUUUAAGUACUGCAAAGGAGCCUUUUCAGAGAUCAUCCCACUUUCACAGCUGGCUUAUCACCACUCCUUACAGUUCAUAGGCCUUAAGGAACACCGCCAGGAGCCAUGGCUGAGGGGAAAGAAUUUAGAGCUGAGCCUGGCUUCUGUGAGUUAUUUUCUAGUUCAAGGGGACAAAGGAGCAUGUGGACUCAGCAAAGGGUAAGUCAGCCAGCCAAUUCCCCAGGGUCCCCUGCCCAGAACACACUCUGGGCUUUUGAUGUGUGAUGGAUGGGUGCAGCCUGUGGAAGGGAAGCAAGGGAGGAUCCCAGACUUGGCACCUUUUCCUGUAAAGGAAGCAACUCUACAGGAAGACGGAGGAAGACAGCACAUCUCUGUGUCAUCAGUGGAUUUCAUGUAUUUGUGCUGUGAAUGUAGAAACUAAAUUUAAACACAGCCUGGUGAAGAAGCCUUCCAAUAUACACAUUCUCAUGAAAGGCUUUGUGGCCCACUUUCUUCUGUCGAAACCUAGGAGUGAGUGCCAGGCCCACAUCUUUAUACACUUUCCUGGUUACAUAUAUAUUUCCUGGUUAUACACCCCCCACCCCCCACACAAGCCAACUUGCUGCUCCCUGCUCUCCACCCUGUGAGCUCCACUUCCAUCCAGCUGCUCUCAAUGGCCACUUGCCACUCUGUGGAUCUGUUGAAAGGCUCAAACGUUUUAGCAUUUCUCAGCAUUAGCGGCAAAGAUGACAAUGAUAAUAAAAAGCUGCACUUUUAAAU